GGCGGGGUGGCCGAGGUUAGGCGGUAAAUUGUAAAUUUACUUACGAAUUUUAUUCCCCCACCA
rnacentral:tRNA from 1 species